AACGUAGGAGGCAAGCGUUAUCCGGAGUUACUGGGCGUAAAGCGCGUGCAGGUGGUUGUACAAGUUCGGUGUGAAAGCGCCCGGCUCAACUGGGCGAGGACAUCGAAGACUGUGGGACUCGAGGCGGGUAGAGGGGCGUAGAAUUCCGGGUGUAGCGGUGAAAUGUGUAGAGAUCCGGAGGAAUACCAGUGGUGAAGACGGCGCCCUGGGCCCGACCUGACACUGAAACGCGAAAGCGUGGGGAGCGAACGGG
rnacentral:rRNA from 1 species